rnacentral:lncRNA from 1 species
UGACACUGGGUGACAGUGGGGGGGCACUGGGUGACACUGCGAGGUGACACUGGGUGACACUGGGUGACAGUGGGGGGGACACUGGGUGACACUGGGUGACAGUGGGGCUGACACUGGGUGACAGUGACGGUGGCAGCAACUGUAGCUGUGAUAGUGACAGUGACAAGCAGUGACGGUGACAACAGCGGUGACCAUGGCAACAACAACCGGUGACAGUGACGGUGUUGGUGACAGUGAUAGUGACAGUGACAGCGACUGUAGCUGUGAUAGUGACAGUGACAAAGAGUGAUGGUGACAACAGCAGUGUCCGUGGCAACAAGAAUUGGUGACAGUGAUAGUGAUGGUGACAGUGACAGUGAUGGUGACAACGGUGGUGUCCAUGGCAACAACAACUGGUGACAGUGACAGUAACAGUGACAGUGACAGUGUUGGUGACAGUGACAGCGGUUGUAGCUGUGAUAGUGACGGUGACAAGCAGUGAUGGUGACAACGGUGGUGUCUAUGGCAACAACAAUUGGUGACAGUGACGGUGACAGUCUUGGUGACAGUGAUGGCGUUGGUGACGGUGACAAUGUUGGUGACAACGACCGGUGACAGUGAUGGUGUUGGUGAUGGUGAUGGUGAUGGUGUUGGUGACAAUGUUGGUGACAAUGUUGGUGACAGCGACAGCGACUGUAGCUGUGAUAGUGACAGUGACAAGCAGUGAUGGUGACAACAGCGGUGUCCAUGGCAACAACAAUUGGUGACAGUGACGGUGCUGGUGCCGGUGCUGGUGCCGGUGCUGGUGACGGUGAUGGUGACGGUGAUGGUGACGGUGACAGUCUUGGUGAUGGUGACGGUGAUGGUGACAGUGAUGGUAACGGUGUUGGUGCCGGUGAUGGUGACGGUG